GUUCGCUCCACGUUAGACAAAUAAUGAAUUUGGCAAGAUGUCGGAAUAGCUGAGAGCACAGCGGAUCGAACAUUUUAUCGUCCGAAAAAAUGUGAUUAUUUUUGAAAAGCGGCUAUGCCUCAUCUAGUCAAUUGCAUUACUUUGACUCUAUCAGCGUUGGAG
rnacentral:pre_miRNA from 15 species